AUUGAACGCUGGCGGCAUGCUUUACACAUGCAAGUCGGACGGCAGCACAGAGGAGCUUGCUUCUUGGGUGGCGAGUGGCGAACGGGUGAGUAACGCAUCGGAACGUACCGAGUAAUGGGGGAUAACUGUCCGAAAGGACAGCUAAUACCGCAUACGCCCUGAGGGGGAAAGCGGGGGAUCUUAGGACCUCGCGUUAUUCGAGCGGCCGAUGUCUGAUUAGCUGGUUGGCGGGGUAAAGGCCCACCAAGGCGACGAUCAGUAGCGGGUCUGAGAGGAUGAUCCGCCACACUGGGACUGAGACACGGCCCAGACUCCUACGGGAGGCAGCAGUGGGGAAUUUUGGACCAUGGGCGCAAGCCUUAUCCCGCCAUGCCGGGUGUCUGAAGAAGGCCUUCGGGUUGUAAAGGACUUUUGUCAGGGAAGAAAAGGGGCAUGUUAAUACCGUGCUCUGAUGACGGUACCUGAAGAAUAAGCACCGGCUAACUACGUG
rnacentral:rRNA from 1 species